rnacentral:tRNA from 1 species
GGAGGGGUAAUUUAAUUGGAAAAAUAGCGGCCUGCUAGGUCGAAAAUGGCGGUUCGAGUCCUGCCUCCCUUCU